rnacentral:lncRNA from 1 species
UAGAAUACAACAAACAACAAGCUUUAGAUUAACAACUGCAACGGAAAUAACAAUCUAUUAGAAGAGUCAAGUAGAGCAUGAUGUCUACUAUCUUCUAUGAUUUAAAAAUCAAUCGUCAAUAUUUUAUCACUGUAACACCAAUUAAUAAUUAUUUCAAAUCAACGAAUUAUUUAUGCACUACGGCCAAAGAUAUUCGUUUGUAUCACCAGUGGUCAUGAUCAUGAUCAUGUCAAACACAUGUCGAUCUUUGCACUACAGGACAAACAUAUUCAUCAAUCAACUGUUCAUCUUUGCACUACGGGCCAAAAAGAACUUUCAUCACCAUUAAAGUCUGAG